UGGUUCAGGCAUGCAAGUCGAACGAUCUCGCAAGAGAGAGUGGCAGAAGGGUGCGUAACACGUGGGUAAUCUACCCUCGAGACGGGGAUAACAUCUCGAAAGAGGUGCUAAUACCCGAUGACAUUCCGUUCACAAAAGUGAAUGGAAUCAAAGGUGGCUCGCAAGAGCUGCCCGUUGAGGAGGAGCCCGCGGCCUAUCAGCUAGUUGGUGAGGUAAUGGCUCACCAAGGCUUUUGACGGGUAGCUGGUCUAAGAGGACGGUCAGCCACAUUGGGACUGAGACACUGCCCAGACUCCUACGGGAGGCUGCAGUCGAGGAUCUUUAGCAAUGCCCGAAAGGGUGACUAUGCGACGCCGCGUGCAGGAUGAAGGCCUUCGGGUUGUAAACUGC
rnacentral:rRNA from 1 species